rnacentral:rRNA from 1 species
UACGGGGGGGGCAAGCGUUGUUCGGAAUUACUGGGCGUAAAGGGCGCGUAGGCGGCCCGCUAAGUCAGACGUGAAAUCCCUCGGCUUAACCGGGGAACUGCGUCUGAUACUGGAUGGCUUGAGUUUGGGAGAGGGAUGCGGAAUUCCAGGUGUAGCGGUGAAAUGCGUAGAUAUCUGGAGGAACACCGGUGGCGAAGGCGGCAUCCUGGACCAACACUGACGCUGAGUGAGCGAAAGCCAGGGGAGCAAACGGG